GCAAUCCUGAACUGUCGCCGUAGGAAGGUCGCGCCAUUCCUUUCGCGAACGUCGCGGUGAUAAGAUGUAUUGAAGAUCUUUCGGUGAUAUUGAAAAGACGCCACACGAGACGACGCCAUGACAGUUGAUAUUGGAUUAAAGUACAAUUUCGUAAAGAAUUGUUAACGUUUUGAUUUAUUAUGAAUUUUUGGAUUUUGUCGAAUUCCUGAACAUGGUUGAUGGCUUUCUUCACAACUUCCGUCUUCUCUAAGGCAACCUCAUAACUGGUUGUUGUGCAUUCUCCUACUUGACUGUCGGAAGAAGAGUGUAAAUAUCUGCAAACGACUCUCCUGAAACUCCACCUUGCGAAGGAUCUAUCCGGUAUCCAGCCACCUGGAGUCAUUCUUCAAUUCAAGGCUUUGGGAAAGGGACGAAACAAAGGGUUUGGCUAUAACUUUGUAAAUUAAGGGGAAAAUAUGGCGGUGGUAACAGGUGAACGUGAAUGGUCUAAUUUGAGGGCAAGCCAUGUCGCAAAGCCAAUCAACCUCCUGAACGAUUUAAUGAUUACUAUUGUCGACUAUUGUGCAGCUGGAGAGGAAAGAGAAGAUUUCGAAAAAUCUCUACACUUUCAGUUGCAUUACUAUUAUCACCGCCAGUGAUAUGAAAUGUUAUCAAAAGACCGUCGGA